rnacentral:rRNA from 1 species
UACGUAGGUGGCGAGCGUUAUCCGGAUUCAUUGGGCGUAAAGCGCGCGUAGGCGGCGCGUCAAGCGGGACCUCUAACCCCGGGGCUCAACCCCGGGCCGGGUCCCGGACUGGCGCGCUCGAGUGCGGUAGAGGCGAGUGGAAUUCCCGGUGUAGCGGUGGAAUGCGCAGAUAUCGGGAAGAACACCGAUGGCGAAGGCAGCUCGCUGGGCCGACACUGACGCUGAGGCGCGAAAGCUGGGGGAGCGAACAGG